GUGAAAAAAAAAAAAAAAAAAAAAAAAAAAAAAAAAAAAAAA
rnacentral:ribozyme from 13 species